rnacentral:rRNA from 1 species
GACGAACGCUGGCGGCGUGCUUAACACAUGCAAGUCGAACGGAAAGGCCCUGCUUUUGUGGGGUGCUCGAGUGGCGAACGGGUGAGUAACACGUGAGUAACCUGCCCUUGACUUUGGGAUAACUUCAGGAAACUGGGGCUAAUACCGGAUAGGAGCUCCUGCUGCAUGGUGGUAGUUGGAAAGUUUCGGCGGUUGGGGAUGGACUCGCGGGUUAUCAGCUUGUUGGUGGGGUAGUGGCUUACCAAGGCUGUGACGGGUAGCCGGCCUGAGAGGGUGACCGGCCACAUUGGGACUGAGAUACGGCCCAGACUCCUACGGGAGGCAGCAGUGGGGAGUAUUGCAGAAUGGGCGGAAGCCGGAUGCAGCAACGCCGCGUGCGGGAUGACGGCCUUCGGGUUGUAAACCGCUUUCGCCUGUGACGAAGAGGGAGUGACGGUAAUGGGUAAAGAAGCACCGGCUAACUACGUG